UCUUUGACGUUUGUAGCUCUGGGUUAAAGUUUAGAAAAGUUUGUACUCUAUCCUCGUAAUUUCCUAAAUCACAAUAAGAUCAGCUCAGGUACCUAUUUCUUCUAUCCUUACUAAUCUCUAAUCCAAUAAACCCUAAUUAACGGUGAAGGUAACAUCAAUCUCCGUACAAGAAAGAUUGAGAAGCUUGAAGAUGGGUUCCAAUUCAUUGAAUAGCUAACAAUUCAAUGUAUCUCAGGCUUAGCAGGGGCUACUACUGAUGUGCACUAUUAUGACGUUUUAACGAAUAAAUGGUCUACGUAAAUUGUAACAGUGACAAGCUACAUAUUGGUUUUUAGUGAUUAGUUAGAAAAUUGGUAUAAUGUUACCAGCUAACACCUUGUUAAUUCCAUCUUCUCUUGAUUCCCCCUUUCUACUCAAGAUGCCUUGAGUUUCCUUCUUGUUUGUAGAAAAAAGCUUCGAAAUUCCAUCUAAGGAGACUUGAAAAAUUUUAGAUGUUGUGUCUCUUUCUUUCAGUGUCUGUUAUUUACUACUUUAGGCAUCACAUGUUUGUCUGUAAAUUUAGUUUGAUUAUGCUGAGUUACUAUCACAAUUGUAAAAUGCCCAUGAUGCUGAUUUUGGCUGCGGAAAUUUUAACUUUAUCUAGGCCGCCAGUUCGAGUUCAACUUUAUUAGAGUUGUAAAGAUUAAUCUAAUGACAAGAAAAAACGGAUUGUGUAUUAUUUUUUUUUAAUAAAGUAAAAUAGAACGGAUUGUGUAUUCUUUUCUCUAAUUUGACAAUCUUUAAAGAUUCAAGGUAGGAUGGAUUUGGUAACGUCAACCAAUCGUCCAGUUCAAUUGACUUGGCACUUCUCCUCAAACACAGCUUUAUUACCUCUUCUUGAUGACAAAGGAACAAGCAUGAAUAGGGUACCUCUAUUUAUAGACAUAUUGUAGCAUCUAAAGGCAAAGGAUAUGCUUCCAACAGUUUCGUUCAUCUUCAGUAGGAAUGGAUGUGAGGUAGCUAUCCAAUAUCUUGAAGAUUGCAGGUUACUAGAUGAGUGUAAGACAAGUGAAGUUGAACUGCCACUCAAAAGGUUCUGUAUUCAAUACCCCAAUGUUGUGCGUGUAUCUCCAUUGAAAGCCUCUAUCAAGGAGUGGCUUCAUGAUAAGUGGGAAAUCUAAUGAAAAUGAGUUGAGACAAAGUUAGAAAGGAAGAAAAGUGAGCAGAGUCGGAACAAGGGUUGAAAGUGCAGCUCAAAAGCAGGCCCCGGUUAUCUCUAUCGCGACGUGUUGUGUGCGAUCACGAUCAGUCCAAGUCAAAAGGAUGUGAUCGUGACCCAACUCCCUGCAAUUGCAGGAAGUCCAUGCAGACCAGUGUGGUGUGAUUGCAAGCCAAAAUAUUGCGAUAGCAGAGUCGUGAUCGUGAAUGAUCGUGAUCGCAGGCAUCGGGCAUAAUUAUAAGGGCAAAGUUGGAAUUUUACAAGGCCCAAUCCCAAGAUAUAAAAGGCUAAACCCUUCACAUUUCCAGCAUCUAAUAUUGGAAUUUUGAGAGCUAAGAACAAUAUUGAGUAAAAACACAAUUUGUAAGGGUUUCUAAGAGGGAUUUUGGCUUUAGAUUGAAAUUGAAGUUGGGAUUAUACUUAUUUUGCUUAUGAUAGAUGAAUUGAAUGCAAAUUUGGGUAUGUUUCUUUCCUCUAA